AGUGAACGCUGGCGGUAGGCCUAACACAUGCAAGUCGAACGGCAGCACAGUAAGAGCUUGCUCUUACGGGUGGCGAGUGGCGGACGGGUGAGGAAUACAUCGGAAUCUACUUUUUCGUGGGGGAUAACGUAGGGAAACUUACGCUAAUACCGCGUACGACCUACGGGUGAAAGCAGGUGAUCUUCGGACCUUGCGCGAUUGAAUGAGCCGAUGUCGGAUUAGCUAGUUGGCGGGGUAAAGGCCCACCAAGGCGACGAUCCGUAGCUGGUCUGAGAGGAUGAUCAGCCACACUGGAACUGAGACACGGUCCAGACUCCUACGGGAGGCAGCAGUGGGGAAUAUUGGACAAUGGGCGCAAGCCUGAUACAGCCAUACCGCGUGGGUGAAGAAGGCAUUCGGGUUGUAAAGCCCUUUUGUUGGGAAAGAAAAGCAGCAGGUUAAUACCCCGCUGUUCUGACGGUACCCAAAGAAUAAGCACCGGCUAACUUCGUG
rnacentral:rRNA from 1 species